rnacentral:rRNA from 1 species
CCUACGGGAGACAGCAGUGGGGAAUAUUGGACAAUGGGGGGAACCCUGAUCCAGCGACGCCGCGUGAGUGAAGAAGUAUUUCGGUAUGUAAAGCUCUAUCAGCAGGGAAGAAAGAAAUGACGGUAGCUGACUAAGAAGCACCGGCUAACUACGUGCCAGCUGCCGCGGUGAUACGUAGGGGGCAAGCGUUAUCCGGAUUUACUGGGUGUAAAGGGAGCGUAGAUGGCGAUGCAAGUCUGAAGUGAAAGGCAGGGGACCAACCCCCGUACUGCUUUGGAAACUGGAUGGCUGGAGUGCAGGAGAGGUAAGUGGAAUUCCUAGUGUAGCGGUGAAAUGCGUAGAUAUUAGGAGGAACACCAGUGGCGAAGGCGGCUUACUGGACUGUAACUGACGUUGAGGCUCGAAAGCGUGGGGAGCAAACAGGAUUAGAUACCCCAGUAGUC